rnacentral:rRNA from 1 species
AGCGAACGCUGGCGGCAGGCUUAACACAUGCAAGUCGAGCGGGCCCUUCGGGGUCAGCGGCGGACGGGUGAGUAACGCGUGGGAACGUGCCUUCUGGUCUGGAAUAACCCUGGGAAACUAGGGCUAAUACCGGAUACGCCCUUUUGGGGAAAGGUUUACUGCCGGAAGAUCGGUCCGCGUCUGAUUAGCUAGUUGGUGGGGUAACGGCCUACCACGGCGACGAUCAGUAGCUGGUCUGAGAGGAUGAUCAGCCACACUGGGACUGAGACACGGCCCAGACUCCUACGGGAGGCAGCAGUGGGGAAUAUUGGACAAUGGGCGCAAGCCUGAUCCAGCCAUGCCGCGUGAGUGAUGAAGGCCUUAGGGUUGUAAAGCUCUUUUAUCCGGGACGAUAAUGACGGUACCGGAGGAAUAAGCCCCGGCUAACUUCGUG